rnacentral:rRNA from 1 species
ACCCGCUGAACUUAAGCAUAUCAAUAAGCGGAGGAAAAGAAACCAACAGGGAUUGCCCUAGUAACGGCGAGUGAAGCGGCAACAGCUCAAAUUUGAAAUCUGGCGCAAGCCCGAGUUGUAAUUUGUAGAGGAUGCUUCUAGGUAGCGACCGGUCUAAGUUCCUUGGAACAAGACGUCAUAGAGGGUGAGAAUCCCGUAUGUGACUGGCCCGCACCUUCUACGUAGCUCCUUCGACGAGUCGAGUUGUUUGGGAAUGCAGCUCUAAAUGGGAGGUAAAUUUCUUCUAAAGCUAAAUACCGGCCAGAGACCGAUAGCGCACAAGUAGAGUGAUCGAAAGAUGAAAAGCACUUUGGAAAGAGAGUUAAAAAGCACGUGAAAUUGUUGAAAGGGAAGCGCUCACAACCAGACUUCUAGGCAGUGUUCCGCCGGUCUUUUGACCGGUCUACUCUCUGUCUCGAGGCCAACAUCAUCUGGGACCGCCGGAUAAGACCUUAGGAAUGUAGCUCCCCUCGGGGAGUGUUAUAGCCUCUGGUGAUGCGGCGCGUCUCGGGUGAGGUCCGCGCUUCGGCAAGGAUGUUGGCGUAAUGGUUGUCAGCGGCCCGUCUUGAAACACGGACCAAGGAGUCUAACAUCUAUGCGAGUGUUCGGGUGUCAAACCCCUACGCGUAAUGAAAGUGAACGGAGGUGGGAAGCGUAAGCUGCACCAUCGACCGAUCCUGAUGUCCUCGGAUGGAUUUGAGUAAGAGCAUAGCUGUUGGGACCCGAAAGAUGGUGAACUAUGCCUGAAUAGGGUGAAGCCAGAGGAAACUCUGGUGGAGGCUCGCAGCGGUUCUGACGUGCAAAUCGAUCGUCAAAUUUGGGUAUAGGGGCGAAAGACUAAUCGAACCAUCUAGUAGCUGGUUCCUGCCGAAGUUUCCCUCA